UGCGUUGUGCAAGAGAGGCAGGGAGCAGACCUUGUUAGCUGUUGGCAGGGUGGUUUUGUUGUUUGUUUGCCUUGCUUUGGUGGGGGAGGCAGGGGAGAAACGAGGAGUGUAUGUGAGGUUCAACCUUUUCUGGAGUCCCCAGGCCUAGACUGCUCCAAGGAUUUGGGAGGGCCCCUCGGCGGAGGCAGGCAGUUGGUUCUGCAGAGACCCUGCUGCUUCCAGCCUGUUGGCUCUGCCCCUCCCGGGUCACGGAAGCCCUGGCAAGGCUGCUGUGGUGCAGCAGGCCUGACAGCAUCGCUUCGGCUUCUCGGCCGAUUGUGGACCCGUGCCGGCGAUUGCCCGCACCCCUCUCCUUAGUCCCAUCUCCUCUGAGCUGAGAGGUUCUUUCUUCUACCUGAAAAGCCCCUGCUCCCCUAUAAACCAUAAAUGACUGAGUAGUUUCACUUCGGGAAGCAAAAGUUAUCAUGGAAAGUGCCUGCAGGCAAGUUCCUUCUGCUUUGAUAAGCCGUAGGUCCCCUGAGCAAGAAGGAAGUACCUGGAGACAGAGACAUCAGGCACAGAUAUGACACGGCCCAGGAGAAGAGAAUUGCUGCUGCUUUCACGGAUGGAGGGCACAUACCUGGCAGUGCUCUGGGGACCAUGUGGUGCCGAGGAUCAAACUCAGGCUCUCUGCAUGUGUGCCCUAUCUGGCCCCUGGAAUUAGAUCUUAUUUAAAAUUUUUUUCCCUUUUAUUUUUUUAAUUGAAUCACUAUGAGAUACACAAUUACAAAGUUGUUCAUGAUUGGGUUUUACUCCUACAAUGUUCCAACACUGUCCCUUCACCAGUGCACAUUUCCCUCCACCACUAUCCCCAGUUUCCUCCAGCCUGCCCCUGCCCCCAACUGCCACCUACCUUUUAUGGCAAGCAUUUUUCUUCUCUGCCUCUCUCUGUGUGUCUCUCUCUGUGUCUCUGUCUGUCUGUCUCUCUCUGUCUCUGUCUGUCUCUGUCUCUCUCUCCCUCUCUAUCUCUCUGUCUGUCUCUCUCCCUCUCUGAGUUUCAUCUUGAGCUAGGGCCCAUGUGCAUGACAACAUGACAGUGCUAAUGGGCGACAAAGCACACAUUGCUCGGUGUAGGUCCCUAGUCUUGGGCUGGUGGGGUUUGUGAGACCACUCUUUAGUUUGGGGCCACAAGAGGCAGCACUCAGCAUCUGCUCCUGGCUCUGUGCUCUGGGGAUCAUUUAGUGCUGGGGACUGUACCCAGGCCAGUGGCUUGCAAAGCUUGCCCUCAGCUCAUUGAUUCCCUCGCAGUACUCUGAGUCAGUUCUUAUGAUGUGGUAGCUGACGUCUCUGUUUCCACGGCCACCAACCAUCCGGGUUGCCUUUCAGGCACAUACGGGCCCACUCAACCAGUGUUUUCUGAAGUGGGUGAUUCUGCUCCCGGGUGGGGGUUCUGGACUGUGGGGGAGGCAGUAGUGGCCUAGGGUGCAAUGAGAUUCACUUUCUGUUCCCACAAAGUAGGCAGAGUCCCAGAGAGCCAUUGCAUGAUUUUCUUUUCCCCGCCUAAGAGGAAAGGCAGGCGAAAUAAAUAUGGGAACCUUUGAGAACUCAGAGCUCCUGGAAACAGAUGCUCAGAGUCUGGAAGCAGAGCUUCUUAGCUGCGACUGGCACAGGCAGAGGCACGAUUUCCCAAGGGUGGUACAGCCUGCUCAACCUUGCUUGGGGGACUUUGCGGUUAAUGUGGAGUCCAAGAGCAGAAACAGAGGAAAGGACGAGGAUGUUGGCCAUUUGCUUGGGAGAAGAUCUGGGAAAUAGGAAUGGGGAAAUGGGAAAGAAGAUCUGGACGGGAGAAGAGCCAGUACCACGACGAGAUGUUGGUGGGCACUGGUUGCCGUGGGCCACUGCCAGGGCCCCCCCAUCCUGUGAGGAAUCCACUGAGAAACCUGUACAGCAGCCUCAACUCUUCCCAGCCAAAGAGCCGGGAGGUGGGAGCAUUCACCCACUGACUUCUGGCCCCUCCAUGGCUUCUAAGUGGCUAGUGGGGACUUUUCAGGUUACGUCUUAGCUUGGCGCAUCCUGCACGUGGUACAUGGCUUCUCGAUUCCUGCCUCUCCUGAGCAAUGUGGCACUGAGCCUGAAAGCGGAAGUGAAGUGAGAUAUCUUUGCCACAACACAUUCUAGGAAAAAGGAACUGGAGGAGUCCACUUCUCCUGUGUCAUUCUAUUUCAUCUGCCUAGGAAGUCUCCAAUUAUUAUCAUCUCAUGCCAAAGCAAGGGACAGGGCAAAAAAAACCCAAGAAAACUCAAGCCAACUUUCUAGAAUCACUUCUGACACCCACUGGGCCAUGGAAGCAGAGCUGGAAGGGGUAAACUCUGUCCUUUGGAGGAUAAGACUCUCUCUUUGGCUUUUCCUGCGACAGCACCUCCUCCUCCAGGCAGGCUUCUCAGGAUUAUCUUGGUUUUUUGCCCUUCCUGCCUCUCUGAUCAGAAAUGGAAGCCAUUUCUGAUCAUACUCUCAGAGACUCAAACUCAAGAAUAUAGAGGAGACAAUAGCAAAAAGAAUUUUGGAAGCUGGAAACAGAUGGGUGAGUGGUAAUUGACUUAGCAGCCCGAAGAAAGCUGAAACCCAGAGAAAACUAAGGGCAGCAUUACUUUCAUGGAAAAUCCUAAAAAAGUGGGGGGUGGGUGGGGGAGAGGGAGGAAUUGGCAGUCUUCAAAACCUCUGGGAUGAACAAAUCAAAGUCAGGAGAACUGGGUGAAAGGUGAUCGGGAAGCAUUCAAGUCCUGGUUCUUCUCUCCCAUCCUCUAUGUUACAGGGCCCCUCUCCCUCCCCACCCCCCGCCCCCGGAAGAGGUCCUAGAGAGGCUAAAACAGAGGGUCUUGAACAGUGGGGACACCAGGCACAGCUGUGGACAGAGUUACCGUGUAUGGAACAGGGCAUUCCAAUGGGUGUUUACUCACUGCAGGCCGAGAUCCUCAGCUUUCUCCACCAUCCAUCCCCUCACUGGUAGCCACACCCAACCCUUUCUCUCUGGGAACUCGGUCUGAGAGCGCUAAAACUGAGAUCUCCAAAUAGAGACCACACAUUCCUCCUUCCAGUGAAUCCCUUAGUUGACAGAUGUAACUCACACACUCAGGACUUUCCAGAAGCUAGCUUUCAGGCCUCAGCUCUUUCAUUGUUGUUAGUUCAUGCCCUUUAUUCACACACGCGCGUGCGCGCACACACACACACACACACACACACAAUUAAUUGCUUGUCUUCUGGCUGGUAGAAACAAUAGGUCAGACAGCCUCUCUCACAGUGAUGUCUGUUCAAAGUGGUUGGUCAUCAAAACUCCAGCAUCACAUGCACAGGAAGGGCAUUCCCCGGUGAACGCAAUUGGUGAUGUCAUUCUCAUCCACAGGAACUUGAGAAGGAAAUGUAUCCCUCUCUUUAAGUUUUGGAGCCACACCUGGUAAUGCUCAGGGGUUAUUCCUGGCUCUGCCCUCCGGAAUCACUUCCUGGCGGUGCUCUGGGAACCAUAUGGGAUGCCGGGGAUUGAACCCGGGUCGACCACAUACAAGGCAAGUGCCUUACCUGCAAUCCUAUCUCUCCAGCCUUACCAUAAUUUCUCUUAUGCUUAUUCUUCUUGCAAGACUUCCUUUUCUUAGCCUCACCACGAAGUCUCAAAAGAAGAUGAAGAGUGGAUUCCUUUCGGAGUCUGUAGCCAAGGGACAUCCAUCUUCCAGUUGUUUGCCAGCCAAGAUCAGCCUUGGCUGAUCAGGAGGAAUUCCUUUCUUCUUCAGGAUUAUGGCCUCUACAUUUUCUACUGUGUCCACGGGGUCAACCGUCCCCAUCAGGGUUGUUCGUGGAAAUCUUCGUCUUGGCGGCGGUUUCGUGGCAGAUGGCGGAUCUGGACGCUCAACUUGUCAGAGUUACCAGCUCUUUGCUGAGAUGCACUGUCUUCAGUUCCCUGGAAAGGAAGAUCAAGAUGAGGAUUCAUGUGCACGUGACUUACUGAGGGUGGGUUCUUAGGAGAAGCCUUGCCCACUGCCCAUCCCCCAGGAGUUACAGGGGAAGGAGCUGAGCAAGGGCUGUGGUUUCAGCUGGAGCCUAGGCUCCGUCUGAUCCCACAGGGGACCCCCCCCACCGCCCCCCGCAUGAAUUGCCCCAUGGAGUUGAUGUGACUUUGAAGCCAAAGGGCUGCUUUGUACCCACAUAUAAAUCAGGUUGUGGGGUUGCCAGGGAGGGGCCCAGAGCCUUCCAGGCAGAGCAAGUCCUGGCCAAGGUCCACAGAGUUUCUUAAACUUUUCCAAUUACGACCCUUUUUCGCCCGAGACAUGCAACACGGGUGAGCGCUGCCAGGAACACGUCAGCUUCAUUGUAUGCUUGGUUUUGAAUUAAUUUUUGCUUGUUGCAUGCUCAGAAACUGUUCGCUGUUGCCAGUAUUUCCCCCCCCCCCGGAACCCCCAUAUUCAAUUCUUUGACCCCCUGUGGGGUUGUGACCCACAGUUUAAGAAGCUGGGGUCUACAGAAAGGGGUAACUCAGAGCCAUGACCAGGCAGCACUCAUAGCAGCUGUGCGUCUGUGAAGCCCAUCAGUAGCAUCUGCUCUGGAUUACCAGCUACGAGAGGAAAGCGGCAAACUAACACGGACAGUAGGGAAUGAUAAUGAAAAUCAAAAGUAAGCAAGCUAACAAUUAAACAGGAAAGGGGCCACGCAAUAGUACGGUGGAUAGGGGUCCUGCUUUACACACAGUCGACCUGGGUUCAAUCUCCGGAUAGCACCUCUGCUCCCCUGAGCCCACCAGGAACGAUCCUUGACUGCAGAGCCGGGAGUCAGUCCUGAGCACAGUCAGCUGUGACGCCCCAAACCAAAAAAUUUUCAAAAUGAAAAUUAAAAUCAACAGGAAAAAAGAAAAGCAACAUGAAAGACACUCAGACUUAUUUUUAAGCUUGAGAGAGGAUAUUUCACCCAUGGAACAGGAAUAAGUAAAAUUUUAAAACUCAAGAGACGGGUUGGAGGGCUGGUGCAGCAGGUAGGGCGCUUGGCCCUGCUUGGAUCCCCAGAACCUCAUGUAAUUCCCUGAGCAUUGCCAGGAAUAAUCCCUGAGUGCAGAGUCAGGAGUAACGGCUGAGCAUGGCUGGGUGUGCCCCCCAAACCAAAAUUAAAAACAAAAAACCCUCAGAAAACAAUAACCUUUUGAGGGGGGCUCCCGAGUAGUGCUCGGAGGUUCAGGGGUCCCACCAGUGAUUGCCAGCCAGUUGGGUUGUUGGUUUGAGGAUGUGCUCCUACUUGGGCCCUGGUGCUGGGGACAUCCGGCCCACCCCCCAGGGCCAUACCUAGCAGUGAUUAAGGGUCUCCAGUGCUGUUCCUGGCUUUGGCCAGAAACCAGGUGGUUCCAGGAAUGGGCACAUGCCAGGUACAUAUCCUAAGCACUGUAUUAUCUCCCAGUCCAACAAACAUUUUUAUUUGCUUAAUUUCAUUUGUUUCAUAAUAGUGAGAUUUUUGUUGAAAUAUUGAAUGUAAUCAAAGUAAAGUGAAAGUAAAGUGAAA